rfam:Hymenolepis nana genome assembly, scaffold: HNAJ_scaffold0001394
GGGGUGCGCAAUGGACUUGCCUCCAUGUGGUGCACCCUAGGCAACGUAUUCUCAUACGGCAAAAAAGUCUAC